CUACGUGCCAGCAGCCGCGGUAAUACGUAUGUCACGAGCGUUAUCCGGAUUUAUUGGGCGUAAAGCGCGUCUAGGUGGUUAUAUAAGUCUGAUGUGAAAAUGCAGGGCUCAACUCUGUAUUGCGUUGGAAACUGUAUAACUAGAGUACUGGAGAGGUAAGCGGAACUACAAGUGUAGAGGUGAAAUUCGUAGAUAUUUGUAGGAAUGCCGAUGGGGAAGCCAGCUUACUGGACAGAUACUGACGCUGAAGCGCGAAAGCGUGGGUAGCAAACAGGAUUAGAUACCCUGGUAGUCCACGCUGUAAACGAUGAUUACUAGGUGUUGGGGGUCGAACCUCAGCGCCCAAGCAAACGCGAUAAGUAAUCCGCCUGGGGAGUACGUACGCAAGUAUGAAACUCAAAGGAGUUGACGGGGACCCGCACAAGCGGUGGAGCAUGUGGUUUAAUUCGACGCAACGCGAGGAACCUUACCAGCGUUUGACAUC
rnacentral:rRNA from 1 species